ACUCCGGUUGUCUAGUGGCUGGAGCGUCCGCCUCGGAUGCGGGAGGUCGUGGGUUCGAUCCCUGGUCGAAUUA